GGAACUGGUAAUAAUAUUAACUGUACUAGUGAACUCCUUUUAAGGAGAAGGAAUUAUCUGUGAAUACAUUAUUUUGUUGAUUGUUGGUAUUGCCUGAACUUGAAUUUAUCAGUGAUUCUCUCAUUUAUCAAUGAUUCUCUAAUGUUAGACUGAGUUUACUUGCUAAAUGCCAAAAAAUGAAUAUAGAAAAAGAGAAUAUUGGCCUUUCAUUUCUUGCCUUCCAAAUUUUCUGGUCUGUAUCUUGUAAUUGGUGUCUGUUUUGGGGUUUUUGUCAACUGAUAUAGUGCAGAUUCAUGUCUGACUGAGGUGGACAAUACUCGAAUAGUUGAUAGAUUUUAGGAUUUAGUUUUAAUAAAGAAAGCGGAAGUGAGAUUUAUAAACAUAUAGAAAGGUUGGAACUGGAAGGACAGAUUUGUGCAAGGAUAAUUCAGAGUUGUAAUGAUGUAGAGUUUGAAUUGAAACAUGGCUAGAAAAGAAGUUGUAAUUAAGGAUUACGAACGGUGCCAAGGUAUUUCAGUUCAAUAGUAGCUUAAGAAGAAAUUAAAUAUGGGGGCAAAGAAGAAGAGAUUGAGAAGGAGGGGGAGAGAGAGGACAAAAUUUCUGACAUAUAAUUGGGGUUUAUAAAUUGAUUGGGCUUAAUUUAAUUGGGUUUGAAUAUAAAAGUAGGGUUGGAACUGGAAGGACAGAUUU
rnacentral:misc_RNA from 1 species